AGGAACUAGGCAGCUCCAGUCCUCCUUUCCACAUCUGUAGGAGUCAGCUCACCUGCAGCAAGCAAUCCAAAAGGUCUGUCAAGUACUGGAUGAUUUUCAUCAUGCUCUGGAACUGAGAACGUACAUCAAAUUCACAACAGAUGGAAAUCCAAAAUUCAGUGUCUGCUUCCAGAACAGCAUCCUGUUUAUGGUUUAGAAAUAAAAAAAUGUGGGUACACAUUCUUCCUUGUACAUUCAGAAAACAUGAGAAAGUACCACGUGCCCGAUAACUGCAUUUACCAAA